GCUAUAAAUCAUAACCAACAACAGCCUGAAACUGAGCUCUCCCAGACCCUUAAAUCUCCAAAGUGUGGCCUGGGUUUUUUGUUCUGGAAUUUUCCUCCAAGCUUCAUGGACUGAUCAAGGAUUAAAGACGAUUCCAUAGCACCCACAACAUUUGAGGAAAGUGGCUGCACAUGAGAGAGAGGCAGUAUGGACCUGUCAGCCUCCACAGCCUUGACCAGGUAACAGACUGUGGUUCCUGUUUGCAAUGAAAGAGCCAUUUACAGACAUGCACUCCUGUCCCGAAGACUCCUAUAACUUCCUGGAAUCCAGACGAGCAAACUUAACACUAAGAAGGAAAUGUAUCAUCAAAUUGAGACCAUGGAAACCCAUUGAAGAUUUGAGGCAAGAAAAACUGCCCCUUUGGAGCCGUGCUCCUGGAAGAUUAAUUUGACAUCUGUGUACAAGAUGGGGCGUCACGGAGGAAUCAUGGAAAUUGGAGACCCUUUCCAUUGUUAAGGCAAUGGCAAUAGUCCAAAUGACAACUGAUGAAGACCCGGUUUGUAAAGCGACAGUGGAGGAGAGAGGAUGGAUGGAGAUGUGCUGCAGAGGUCAAAUCUGGAG